rnacentral:rRNA from 1 species
CGCUGAGGAAUCUAACUUCGGUUAGAGCCGUGUUUGAACUAGGAAGCUACUAAUCUAGCUUAGUCUACCUUUAGAUUAGACCUCAAAUCAGGCAGGAUUACCCGCUGAACUUAAGCAUAUCAAUAAGCGGAGGAAAAGAAACUAACAAGGAUUCCCCUAGUAGCGGCGAGCGAAGCGGGAAGAGCUCAAAUUUAUAAUCUGGCGCUUUCAGCGUCCGAGUUGUAAUCUCUAGAAGUGUUUUCCGCGUUGGACCGCACAUAAGUCUGUUGGAAUACAGCGGCACAGUGGUGAGACCCCCGUAUACGGUGCGGAUGCCCAAUGCUUUGUGAUACACUUUCGAAGAGUCGAGUUGUUUGGGAAUGCAGCUCAAAUUGGGUGGUAAAUUCCAUCUAAAGCUAAAUAUUGGCGAGAGACCGAUAGCGAACAAGUACCGUGAGGGAAAGAUGAAAAGCACUUUGGAAAGAGAGUUAACAGUACGUGAAAUUGUUGGAAGGGAAACGCUUGAAGUCAGACUUGCUUUUCGGGGUUUACUCCGGUUGGCAGGCCAGCAUCAGUUUUCUGGGGCGGAAAAUCACGGUUAGAAGGUAGCAGUUUCGGCUGUGUUAUAGCUUUCCGUUGGAUACGUCCUGGGGGACUGAGGAACGCAGUGUGCUUUUAGCGAGGGCUUCGGCCCUUUCACACUUAGGAUGCUGGUGGAAUGGCUUUAAACGACCCGUCUUGAAACACGGACCAAGGAGUCUAACAUGCUUGCGAGUAUUUGGGUGUCAAACCCGGAUGCGUAAUGAAAGUGAAUG